GCCGCUGAAGGUCGGACCCAUACAGCAUGAAGAUGGUCAGACUAGCUUUUGUUUAGCUGUCUGUCUCUUGUUUCACAUGUAAUCCUGGGCUUCGCAAGCUGGACCUGGGGUAGACUUAACAGAGAAAUGCUAUCAAGGACCUCCACGACAAAGGGCUCUUUCACAGAUGCUCCCUGUCUCCUGAGUUCCAUUAGCUGGGCAUUUCAGUGUUCCGGAUGGGAGGCUCCACAAGCCCCAAAGCUGACAUGAAGUCAGUGACGACUGACACUCUCUCUCUCAGCUCUACACAUCUCAGACACAGAUAAAUGACAAGUCAAGGUGAUUUUCUCUUCUUUUUUUCUCUUUGCACCAAUGUUCCAACCCAACACAUUUUAAACUUUGAAAUAGAAUAAGUAUUAUAUUAAACAACAUUUUUAUUUCGAAAGACAGCUUUACUAUAAUUGAGAGAACAAUGACAACAUACUUACAGGAGCAUUAAAUCAUUCAGUGAUAGAAAGCCAAAACAUAGACAUUUCCUGUAAGGCAGAGAAUCAUUCCAUCUUACCAUAACUGAUAAACCUAAUCAUGCCAUUGCUCUUACAACAACCAACGCCUUAAAGGCCUACAUUUGUCUUCCAACAAUUUUCCUACUGAGAAUGUCAUAUCUUUUAAAAAAUGUGGCUAUGACUAACCCUGCAGCAGUGUAGAUUGGUCUCUAGCUGACUGAAUAUAAAACA